rnacentral:rRNA from 1 species
AUUGAACGCUGGCGGCAGGCCUAACACAUGCAAGUCGAGCGGAUGAAGGGAGCUUGCUCCUGGAUUCAGCGGCGGACGGGUGAGUAAUGCCUAGGAAUCUGCCUGGUAGUGGGGGAUAACGUCCGGAAACGGGCGCUAAUACCGCAUACGUCCUGAGGGAGAAAGUGGGGGAUCUUCGGACCUCACGCUAUCAGAUGAGCCUAGGUCGGAUUAGCUAGUUGGUGGGGUAAAGGCCUACCAAGGCGACGAUCCGUAACUGGUCUGAGAGGAUGAUCAGUCACACUGGAACUGAGGCACGGUCCAGACUCCUACGGGAGGCAGCAGUGGGGAAUAUUGGACAAUGGGCGAAAGACUGAUCCAGCCAUGCCGCGUGUGUGAAGAAGGUCUUCGGAUUGUAAAGCACUUUAAGUUGGGAGGAAGGGCAGUAAGUUAAUACCUUGCUGUUUUGACGUUACCAACAGAAUAAGCACCGGCUAACUUCGUG